rnacentral:lncRNA from 1 species
UCACAAGAUUUGUUCAAAUUUCACUAUAGGCCUUUUUUGUUAUUGGAAAAAAGUGUGUGAAUUGGAAAAAAAAUCAUAAUGCGCAUGCUCAUUGACAAUUCGUGUAUUGCGUGUAGUCUAUUCAUGUCACAAUUUUUGGACGAGGUUUUUGUUCGGUCCAGGAAUGUGAGAAAUGUUAUUCCAUUUUCCAAUCCCGAGAUGUUACGCGGCGUUAUUUAAUAAAGUAAACAAAUGUUGAAAAUUAAAAUUUCCCCAGCUCCAAAAUUGCUUCUUCUUUUUUAACCAUUUUCUUUUCUUCUUUUUCGAUAAAAUUAAUUAAAAUAAUAGUAUUAAUAAUUAUAUUAUCUUUAGGAACAUUUUUUUUUUUUUUUUUUUUUUUUUUUUUUUUUGAAAAAUUGCGCCGUUGUAAGUAUAAAUAAAAUGGAGGUCUUUUUUCACUUUCUGUUUUGUUACCAAGUGGAAAAU